rnacentral:rRNA from 1 species
UACGUAGGGUGCAAGCGUUAAUCGGAAUUACUGGGCGUAAAGCGUGCGCAGGCGGUUUUGUAAGUCUGUCGUGAAAUCCCCGGGCUCAACCUGGGAAUUGCGAUGGAGACUGCAAGGCUAGAAUCUGGCAGAGGGGGGGUAGAAUUCCACGUGUAGCAGUGAAAUGCGUAGAGAUGUGGAGGAACACCGAUGGCGAAGGCAGCCCCCUGGGUCAAGAUUGACGCUCAUGCACGAAAGCGUGGGGAGCAAACAGGAUUACGAAACCGGAG